GGGGCGCGCUGCGGCCUCUCCCGGCCACAUUUAAGGAUCUGGAGCACUAAAUAACAUUAAGAAUUAACAGAUGCCAAAGGAGUCGCAUUCCUUUUUCCGUGGUAAGGAGGUCAGUGCCGGCGGCGUGGGUGUCGCAGCAGAUGGCUAAGAUUUUGCUCAUGACCUGUGAGCACUGCACAGGACCCCUUGAUGCAUCUCCAUAAUCUCAUCCUGCAACUUCUCCAGUUAUCCCCUCCUGCAGUAAUCAAAACUGAGGUUACAGUGAAGCUUUAGCCAUGAUGAUUGACAACAAACCAAUCUAAAGCGACCUGGCACCUAAAUGUGAGCUUUCCUAGAAGAGAAAGAAAAGAGGUAGAUAUGCUGUGUUUGGAAACAGAACACACAUUCCUGUAAUGCCACUGAGGAGAAUCAAACAGUUUGCUCACCUCGUGCACUCUUCUGGACCCAGAGGCAACACAAGUGUUUUUUGACUGACCUGGAGGUUCUGCUGGGGAAUUUAAGGAGUCCUGUCCCUGCUCAUGGGUUCACGUGCAACAGCACCAACGUAGCGCCUGAUGAGGAAAAUCCCCCUGCUCCCACCGUGUGUUGGCGUUCCGGCUCCAGAUGAUAUUUUCUGUACAUAAUAACUAAGGCAGUCUGAGGGAACCUUGCCGGCGCGGCGUGAAUUCGUCCACCUUUAAUCGGCGUUCGGGCCGGAGAGCGGCUUCCCACCCCUGAGCUGGGGUUGGUGUGCCGCUGCUGCCGCCCGGGAAUGGUUUGCUCUCGCCGCAGCCCGGCCAGCACUGCGUCGGAUUGCUUGGGAACUCAGCGGGGCUGCCGGGUACCGGGAUAAAGUUUUUGGAAAGGCGUCAUCGCAAGAGGCGUGAGUACUGCUCUGUGUGUUGCACGGAGGCUGCGGGGUUUGUUCGGUAACUGCGGGACCGGUGGAGCACCAUGUAAUCUUCUGACGGUGCACACAGGGAACCACAGUUUCAGCCAGUCACUGAUUUGUUUCCUGCUUGAGCACCAUAAAACAUUUUCAGAAAUGGAAGAAGAAAAAGGGCAAAGUACUAAAGCUACCAGUGCAGUGGGUGACCUGAGGAAAAGUUGGCAGACCUGGGCAGAGGAUCACAUCGAGUAUCAGAGGAAGAAUCCAUUCAGCAGCGAUGACAGGCUUGCGUCCAAACCUGCGCAUACUCACAGAGGAGAUCCUACCUACGGGAGACCCCCUGAAGGCUCUCGGACAGAGCAGAGGGGGAAAGAUGCUCACUCACACGUGGGUAAGGAAGUAGAAGAGCUGUGCUUGAUCAUCAGAAGAACUGGAGAGAUGGGAGAAGAUGGACACGUGAGAGUGACAUUCGGACAGCUGUUUGAAACGUAUGUGACUAUUUCCAAUAAAGUAGUGGGAAUCUUGUUAAGAGCCAGAAAACACGGUCUGGUUCAUUUUGAAGGUGAAAUGCUUUGGCAAGGAAAAGAUGAUGAUGUGGUCAUCACUCUACUACAAUAAGGCUUUGUCCUGGAAUGAACUUUGCUGCAUAGUUCCAUUUGGAAAAACAUAUCUAGAUGCCAUCUUCACAGGUUUUGGUUACAGAAUUUCAACUCAGCUAC